AUUGAACGCUGGCGGCAGGCUUAACACAUGCAAGUCGAGCGGAGAGAGGUAGCUUGCUACUGAUCUUAGCGGCGGACGGGUGAGUAAUGCUUAGGAAUCUGUCUAUUAGUGGGGGACAACAUUUCGAAAGGAAUGCUAAUACCGCAUACGUCCUACGGGAGAAAGCAGGGGAUCUUCGGACCUUGCGCUAAUAGAUGAGCCUAGGUGGGAUUAGCUAGUUGGUGGGGUAAAGGCCUACCAAGGAGACGAUCUGUAGCGGGUCUGAGAGGAUGAUCAGCCACACUGGGACUGAGACACGGCCCAGACUCCUACGGGAGGGAGCAGUGGGGAAUAUUGGACAAUGGGCGGAAGCCUGAUCCAGCCAUGCCGCGUGUGUGAAGAAGGCCUUAUGGUUGUAAAGCACUUUAAGCGAGGAGGAGGCUACUUUAGUUAAUACCUAGAGAUAGUGGACGUUACUCGCAGAAUAAGCACCGGCUAACUCUGUGCCAGCAGCCGCCGCCGUA
rnacentral:rRNA from 1 species